rnacentral:lncRNA from 1 species
AUCUAUCUAUAUUAGUUUGCAAACUCUCUAUAUAAAAAGAAGAUGUGGUAUGAUUGCCAACGAGAAAACUCACAAGAGACCACACGACACAGAAAUCAACAACUAUAGGUCAGCGUAUGGCAAUCAUCAAUGAGCAAAUUAAAGCCCAUCCCGCAUAGUCAGCUAUUAAAGACAUCGAAAUGACAAAUGUCAAACAAGAAAAUAACGGCCUAAUUUAUGAACGAAAAACAAAUAUGUAAAACAGCUACAAAAUAGUUUCUUUAGAAUUAUAUUAUUUUAUUAUUUUAUAUAAAAAUCAUCAAAGGUACAAGUUUUAUAAUUUUGUACGUUAGACGCUGAUUUCAUCUU